GACGAACGCUGGCGGCGUGCUUAACACAUGCAAGUCGAACGGAAAGGCUUUGCUUUUGCGGUGUGCUCGAGUGGCGAACGGGUGAGUAACACGCUAGUAACCUGCCCUCGACUCUGGGAUAACUUUAGGAAACUGGGGUUAACACCGGAUAGGAGCUCCUGCUGCAUGGUGGGCGCCGGAAAGAGUCGGCGGCCGGGGAUGGACUUGCGGCUUAUCUGCCUGUUGGUGGGGUAGUGGCUUACCAAGGCUUUGACGGGUAGCCGGCCUGGGAGGGCUGCCGGCCACAUUAGGACUGGGCUACGGCACAGACUACUACGGGAGGCAAGAGUGCAGAAUGUUGCACAAUGGGAGGAGGCCUGAUGUAGCCACGCAGCGUGGGGGAUGACGGGCUUCGGGUUGGAAACCACUUUCGCCUGUGACGAAGCGUGAGUGACGGUAAUGGGUAAAGAAGCACCGGCUAACUACGUG
rnacentral:rRNA from 1 species